rnacentral:lncRNA from 1 species
CUUGUGUAGUGUUAGUGGUGAUGGACUUUUUGAGAGAUUCGGCUGAUGAUGCUGCAGGAAAGAUCAUUUCUGUUAAUUGACGCUGAAUUUGCUGAAGCUGCUGGGAAAAGAAGCAGAGAAACUGCUUUCAUUUUUACCACUGGAUAAAGAUUGAUUACGUCUAUACAAGAAUAAUAAGGAAAAGUGCUUGUGGAAACUGUCUUUUCUGAACACCAGUCUCAUCAGCACAGUCCUCAGUUCACUGGAGGUGAGGUAUUUCAACUUAAGCUGUUAUACCCCGCAGUAGAGCAGUUUUUGACUCAGUAAUCACAGUGCUACACUUUAUUUACGAUUUCAAAUAAUUUCUUGCAGAUGCAGUAUAACUGAAACCAUUGUUUUUUUUUUUUGGCAGUUCUAAGAGGACACUUUACACUCUUCAACCGCUAAAAAAUAUAUGUUGCUGCCUAAAUUGUUUUCAGUAUUUUAAAAAUAAACAGUGUCAAUAGCCCUAUAGUCAAUAGCCCCGGCAUUAGUAUUACCUGGUGACCUCCAGUCAUUUGUAAUAAUUGCGGAGAUUGUCUGUGAUUUUAAUCCCGUGCGAAUCGGCCAUGUCUGUAAUUUGUAAAGUAAAAAUUCCCCUGCAAAUGACCUACCAUAUUUAGCCGAACACCAAGGUCCUGUGAUAAUAUUAGUCCCGUGCGAAUUGGCAUCUCUGUGAUUUGGCCUGCAUUUGGCAAAAAAUGUCAAAAUCACACAAGGUCCCCAGAUUAUACUAAUCCCUUGCGAAUAGGGCUAAUGACUUCUUUAUUGACACUUUGACAAACAUAUUUGUCCUGUAACUCUUGAAUGUCUUAAACUUUAUUUUUUUACAUUUUUUUUUUUACUUCUAGAACCCAGAUUUGACAGCACUGCACAACCAUCUGAGGCCUACCUGUUUUACUUUGUGUUUACUUUGUGAUUUCCCCAGAUACUUCUACAACUAACCUGCUUUGUAAGUCUCAUAGUUACACAUAUUUGAGAAGCACAUAAUUGUGUUUCCUUUAUAUUUGCUG